AUUGAACGCUGGCGGCGUGCCUAACACAUGCAAGUCGAGCGGUAACAGGUGUAGCAAUACAUGCUGACGAGCGGCGGACGGGUGAGUAACGCUUGGGAAUCUGCCUGUUAGUGGGGGACAACCCGGGGAAACUCGGGCUAAUACCGCAUACGCACUACGGUGGAAAGCCGGGGACCGCAAGGCCUGGCGCUAACAGAUGAGCCCAAGUCGGAUUAGCUAGUUGGUAGGGUAACGGCCACCAAGGCGACGAUCCGUAACUGGUCUGAGAGGACGACCAGUCACACCGGAACUGAGACACGGUCCGGACUCCUACGGGAGGCAGCAGUGGGGAAUAUUGGACAAUGGCGAAAGCCUGAUCCAGCGACGCCGCGUGGGUGAAGAAGGCCUGCGGGUUGUAAAGCCCUUUCGGUGGGGAAGAAAAGCCUCGAGUUAAUACCUCGGGUCUUGACGUAACCCAUAGAAGAAGCACCGGCUAACUCUGUGCCAGCCGCCGCGGUAAU
rnacentral:rRNA from 1 species